UAAAGUAUUUUUAUAGAAAAAAUUAAAUAAUUUAUAGUGAAUUAGUAUUGUAGAAGAAUUUUGAAAUAAUUGAAAUAGAAAAUUAUUUUAAAGUAAUUUUAAUUUAAUGUAUCUUGGGUAUCAGAGUUUAUUAAAAAAAAUUUAUAGAAAAAGAAUUCUCGAAUUUAAAAGAGCUAAUUAAUUAUUAAAGUUAUUGUGGCAUAAAUAUUUUAAAUAAUUAAUUAGAGAUGAAAUGUUAAUCGUUUUUAAAUAUAUCUAGUUUUUUUAGAAAAAAAUUUAAUUUUAUAUUAAUUUUAUAAAAAAAUUAAUUAAUUAAUUUUUUUAUAAAAUUAAUAUUAUAUUUUAGGGGAUAAGCUUUAAUUUAAAUUUAUAUAAAUAAAAUUAAUAAACCUUUUAAUUGAAAUUUUUAUGAUUUAUAUUGUUAAAAAAAUUUAAUUUAUUAUAAAUAAUUUCAUUAAAAAAUAAAAUUUAAUAAAAUUUUAUAUAUUUAUAAAAAAAAAUUUUUUAAUAAAAUAAUAAUUGUUAUAAUGAUAAAAUUAGUAUAUAAAAUUAAUUAAAAUAUAAUUUUUUAUUAUAAUUAAUUAAAAGGAAUUCGGCAAAUUUUUAUAUUCACUUGUUUAUCAAAAACAUGUCUUUUUGAAAAUAAUAUAAAGUCUAAUCUGCCCACUGAUUUAUAUUGAAGGGCUGCAGUAUUUUGACUGUACAAAGGUAGCAUAAUCAUUAGUCAUUUAAUUGAUGACUUGUAUGAAAGAUUGGAUGAAAUAUAAGCUGUCUCUUAAUUAGAUGUAGAAUUUAAUUUUUUAAUUAAAAAGUUAAAAUAAGUUAAAAAGACGAGAAGACCCUAUAGAGUUUUAUAAAUAAGUUAAUUAAGAUUAUUUAUAUAAUUUUAUAGAAAAUUAAAAUUAAUUUAUUUAUUUUGUUGGGGUGACAGAAAAAUAAAUAAAACUUUUUUUAUAUGAAUUACAUAUAUAAAUGAUUAAAUGAUCCAUUAAUAAUGAUUAAAAGAAAAAAUUACCUUAGGGAUAACAGCGUAAUUUUUUUUUUUAGUUCGUAUAAGAAAAAGAGUUUGCGACCUCGAUGUUGGAUUAAGAUAAAAUUUAAAUGCAGAAGUUUAAAAUUUUUGAUCUGUUCGAUCAUUAAAAUCUUACAUGAUCUGAGUUCAAACCGGUGUAAGCCAGGUUGGUUUCUAUCUUUUAAAAAUUAAAAUAUUUUAGUACGAAAGGAUUGAAUAUUUAAAUUAAAUUUAUUUUAUUGAAUAUUAUUA
rnacentral:rRNA from 1 species